GCAGGCUAGCUGUAGCACAGCACUCCAGCCUAGGAGCAUGAUCAGUACAAAAAGCUGACUAAUAUGGAAACGGCACAUAAGACAGAAAUCUGGCCUUACGCCUUGGCUCCAUUUAAAGUCCGUGCAGUGUAGCAGGCACAUUUGAGCUUGGGAUGAGGUGGCUUGUACUUGGAAAUGCCUGCUGGAUACCAGGGUUGCGUAGAGAGACUGCAAAUAGGCAGAUCAACUGUUUAUUAUCUAAUCUUACUCACCAGGAAGCUUCAACUCCUUGAUACCAUAGGUGUAUUCAGACUCUUAGCCUGGGACUACAGCAGAGACACGUGGUAGGAUAUACUGGAGGUGAUCAUGUCUGAGGGACGUACGGAGAGAGAGAGACUCAAUACACUCUGCUGGCCACAUCUCUUUGCAUCAGUGGGGUUCCAUCUGUUGGACACUUUCAAGCAAAAGAGUACCAUGACAUUACACAGAAGGCAAGAACAAAACAAAACAAAAAUCCAGAAAAGGGGGAAAAAAACCCAACAGCUCCUACCCAUCCCUAGCAACCCAAGAGCCUGACUUAGGGAAUAAGUGCAAUGUGACAAUUUAAGUUUACUUCUGCUGCACACUUGAUCACCAUUGUCCUUCAGAGAAAACCAUACUCGGUCUCUGCUGCCAUGCAAUAUUUCUGGGUUCAGAAUUCAUUUCAGCUGACACAUAGCAUUUCUUCGCAUCAAGAGUGCUGACUCUGCAUUUUUUCCCGUGACAUACAUGCCUAUAUGUAGCACUAAGGCGACACAGAUGAACCUGCACUCUAAGCAGGACGCCAUGAAUCCUGUACUUCUUUCCGGUGAGUAUUGCUAACUUUCUUCCCUUCACAGAACGAACUGCACAUCAUCCCAAAUUCCACUGGGAAAUCAACAUGCCUAAGAAUGGACUUGAGCUCUUCAGAGAGAAACCUUACGUGCUGGCCUUGCAUUUAGAAUAAACAGCAGAGCAGAUGCCUGCAGAAUCCUUUUCUGUUUUUCUUAAAAAACAGAAGCCAUGACACAGACAGUGGAGGGGUCUGGUACAUGCCCAUAUCGCAAAGGUAUUGGGUUAAAACACAAACAAGAUCCACAGUCAGAUCUGGCAAGUGAUGGACACAGGUUUAGAAAGAAUCCAUUACAUUAUUUGGUUCUGCUAUAAGCAACAUGCUGUGGUGUCUCCUCAAAUUUCCACUCCUUGUUGCAUGUCCUGCUUUAAGUGUCUGGAACCAAGUAAUGACAGAACUGCCCAUACCUUAACUGCAGAAUUAUGCCUAGCUUUGGGCCCCUAUUUCAGGAAAGGCACGGAAAGAUUGUAAGAACCUGUGUAGUUUAAUUUAGAGGAAGAAGGCUGAGGGAACAUGUCGCAGUCUUCAGAAUACAUCAUGCACACUUCCCAGUAGGAUAAGUAUUGGCAACAAGGGAGAUCUAUGGUACAUAUUAGGAAAGUUUUUCUCAUGGUGAGAACAGUGAAACAUGGGCACGUAUUGCUUGGGCAGGUUUUGAGACUCCUUUCACUCUGGAUCUGGAGAUUCUCCCUAGACAUAAUUUCUUUCAUGCCUUCUGUCAUUCCCUGGGACCUUGCUGCCAGCAAUUCUAAUCAUUACUUUAGACUGAAUUAUAGAAAUCUGCUCUGAAGAUUUACCCAGUAGUCAAAUACUGCUUUAGAUGAGUUAUGGAAUACCUUGGGAUAAGGUAUGCAUCUGUAUUUACUUUUUUUUUUUUAAUCCUUCCCCCUUUUUUCUUCAUAAUUAAUCCCAAGAAAUUACUUCAUAAAAUGCUAUGUUGCAUGUAUUCUUAGGUGGCUGCUGGGCUAUUAAGAGCCGUUUGGCUUGAACAAAUUAACUUACCUUAGUAUUCUUGAAUGGCUCUGACAGUGUUUUGUGAACCAAAUUAUCAGGGCAAUGAGAACACCCAUCAGGCAUUUCAAAUACAGACUUCAGUUUUCUAAGUAUGAAAAUUAUGUGAAUGUUAAAAUGAAAACCCACGCUUCAGAGAAUUAAAAUCACCGCAGAGCAAGUCUGUAUCACAGUAGAAUGGGCAGUAAAAGUGAACAACUGCGAUGAUCUGCAAUAGGUAUGCAAGGAAAUUCUGCUGCUUGGGAACCAGCAGCAGAAAAUGAUGAAUUACAUUCAGAAUGCUGUGGCACAGCUAAUACAGUUUGGAAGCAUUAGGUUAUUUGUCAUCAGACGUGCCAAGGAAAAUACCUAUUUGAUGCUCUGAUGAUUUUACUAGAAGAAGAAAACUAAAACUAUGAUACAUCUAUUACAACUUCUAACUAGAAACAAGCAUGAGACUGAGGAAGACUUUCCCAAGUCACAAAAGGCAAAACAUAAGCUACCAGGGCAUGAUUUUUUUUUCUUAAUGAGCCACUGAGAAAAGAUGUUAUGGGAUUUUAGUAUUUCUUCUGUUUUCCUGAAUGAAGACAAAAUAAAAAGAAAUGCUGCAUACACAAAAAGCAUCUUUUGUGCCCACUUACUUGAACAGCUUCUCCAAGCUGAUGUUCUAUAUACAAAUGGUGGAGUAACUAUUGUUAUUUCUAGCUGCCAUCAAAAGUGGUUGUUUGAGCUAGGCAAGAUCUUGUAAAGGUCAGGACAGCACUUUCAUUACAAACAUGCUGCAUUUUCUCUUCAGUACCUUCCUUCAGCAGAAUAUGUGUUUUUAUUGUAAAAGAAAAUAGGCUUACUUGGAGAGAUAUAUACUCAUUGUACUUGGAAUUAAUUUCAUGGACACUGGUAACAUUGCAUGUGUUAAAGUACCAAACUUAGAAAAAUCCUAUAAAAUUUUCUAAAAUACUAAAAAAAAAAUAUGCACUUCUGCUUCACAUUUUUUCUAUUCCUUUACUGCUUACUCC